GAAUUUUAUAUAAUUAUUAGUUAGAUUUUUUUGAUAUUUUUGUAUAAAGAAGAGGAUUAGUAAUUAUAUUUAGUUGGGAGGAUUGUUAAAUUUUUUAAACUUUAAUUAAAUAUAUUUACAUAGAUGAAUGAAUUAAAGAGUGAUUAAAAAAUAAUUUAAUUAAAUAAGAAUUAAUUACCUUAGGGAUAACAGCGUAAUAUUUUUGGUGAGAUCAUAUUAAUAAAAAUGUUUGC
rnacentral:rRNA from 1 species